UGGUUCCGGCAUCGAUGAAGAACGCAGCGAACUGCGAUAAGUAGUGUGAAUUGCAGAAUUCAGUGAAUCAUCGAGUCUUUGAACGCACAUUGCGCCCCCUGGUAUUCCGGGGGGCAUGCCUGUCCGAGCGUCAUUGCUACCCUCAAGCGCGGCUUGUGUGUUGGGCCGCCGUCCCCCCCGCUCCGGGGGGGACGGGCCCGAAAGGCAGCGGCGGCACCGUGUCCGGUCCUCGAGCGUAUGGGGCUUUGUCACCCGCUCCGUGGGGCCGGCCGGCGCCUUGGCCAUCAACCUCUCUCUCCAGGUUGACCUCGGAUCAGGUAGGGAUACCCGCUGA
rnacentral:misc_RNA from 1 species